AUUGAAUGCUAGCGGGAUGCCUUACACAUGCAAGUCGAACGGAGUGGCAAACGGGUGCGUAAUAUAACGGAACGUGACCCGUAGCGGGGGAUAAAUACGCGAAAGCGUAACUAAUACCGCUACCUAUUGGAGCGGCCAGUAUCGGAUUAGCUAGUGGGUGGGGUAACGGCGCACCAAGGCGACGAUCCGUAGCUGGUUUUAGAGGACGACCAGCCACACUGGGACUGAGACACGGCCCAGACUCCUACGGGAGGCAGCAGUGGGGAAUAUUGGACAAUGGGGGAAACCCUGAUCCAGCCAUCCCGCGUGUGCGAUGAAGGCCUUCGGGUUGUAAAGCACUUUUGGCAGGAAAGCGGUACCUGCAGAAGAAGCACCGGCUAACUCCGUGCCAGCAGCCGCGGUAAUUC
rnacentral:rRNA from 1 species